GUCCGCAAGGAUACUACCGAAAGGGGCAUUAAUACCGAAUGAUGUGGUCUGUCGUAUGGCGGAUUACCAAAGAUUUAUCGGUGCAAGAGCGGCCUAUCUCCUAUCAGUUAGUUGGUGAGGUAACGGCCCACCAAGACUAUGACGGGUAGCGGGACUGAGAGGUUGGCCCGCCACAUCGGAACUGAGAUACUGUCCGGACCUCCACGGAGGGCUGCAGUAACGAAUAUUGGGCAAUGGGCGAAAGCCUGACCCAGCGACGCCGCGUGCGGGAGGAAGUCCCUCGGGAUGUAAACUCUGUCAGGGAGAAGAAAGUCCGCAAGGAUUGAUCUAUCCCAGAGGAAGCAACGGCUAACUUCGUGCCAGCAGCCGCGGUAAGACGAAGGUUGCGAGCGUUGCUCGGAAUCACUGGGCUUAAAGCGCAUGUAGGCGGAUGAGUAAGCGUUUUGUGAAAUCCCCCGGCUUAACCGGGGAAUUGCUUGGCGAACUGCUCAUCUUGAGGCAAGUAGGGGUGCAUGGAACUCUUGGUGGAGCGGUGGAAUGCGUAGAUAUCAAGAGGAACGCCAGCGGAGAAAUCGGUGCACUGGACUUGUCCUGACGCUCAGAUGCGAAAGCGUGGGGAGCGAACGGGAUUAGAUACCCCGGUAGUCCACGCCCUAAACGAUGCCUACUAGGUUGUAGAACCUCUGACGGUUUUACGGCCGAAGCAAAAGUGUUAAGUAGGCCGCCUGGGAAGUACGGUCGCAAGGCUAAAACUCAAAGGAAUUGACGGGGGCUCACACGAGCGGUGGAGUAUGAGGAUUAAUUCGAAGCAACGCGCAGAACCUUACCUGGGUUUGACAUGGUUGGAUGGCUUACUGGAAACAGUGUAGUCUGCCCGCAAGGGUGAAACUUCCACAGGUGCUGCAUGGCUGUCGUCAGCUCGUGUCGUGAGAUGUCGGGUUAAGUCCCUUAACGAGCGAAACCCUUGUCAUUAGUUACCAUCAGUUCAGCUGGGGACUCUAAUGAGACUGCCGGUGUUAAACCGGAGGAAGGUGGGGAUGACGUCAAGUCCUCAUGGCCUUUAUGCCCAGGGCCUCACACGUACUACAAUGGCGGCUACAAAGCGAUGCAAGACCGCAAGGUGGAGCAAAUCGCAGAAAGGUCGCCCCAGUUCAGAUCGCAGGCUGCAAUUCGCCUGCAUUAAGUUGGAAUCGCUAGUAAUCGCGGAUCAGCUACGCCGCGGUGAAUGUGUUCCUGAGCCUUGUACACACCGCCCGUCAAGUCAUGGGAGCCGGGAGUACCCGAAGUCGGGUUGCUAACCGCAAGGACGCGCCUGCCGACGGUAAGCUCGGUGACUGGGACUAAGUCGUAACAAGGUA
rnacentral:rRNA from 1 species